rnacentral:piRNA from 1 species
UGGGUUGGAACCGUAAUAUGUCGGGAGUGC